rnacentral:lncRNA from 10 species
CAAUAUCCGGAGAGAGAGAGAGAGAUUCCUGUAGAAUACAAGACAAGACUAUCACAAUGAGCUGAAAUGUUGGGUCUGUGAAAGUAAUGAGAAGCACAGUGGAAAUAAGUUUCUGAAGGAUGGAAGAGGCUGGAGGCUGGCUAGUGGGAGAAGGUUCCCAGACACGUGAGAGACCCAGCAACAGAUUAAAAUCAUCCUUACCUGACAAGAGGACUCAGUGAAUCAAUUGAUAAGAAGGAGAUUACUGCUGCCCACGGGGAAAAAGGAGAACAGAAAUGGGAAAGCCGUAUUGAGAGGAUGUUUGAGAACUGUGAAAGACAGAAAGCAGAAUUGCCAUGCCUAAACCACUUUCUUUGAAGUUUAUGGAAGCACCACUGCAUUUAUGCCAGAAGGUGAAAGUCCAGAACAGGUGCUUUUUGGUUUGAGAAUGAGUGUUCUACAUACUGGCCUGUAAGGCAGUGCUACUCCAAGUGUGGUCCACAGGCUGGCAGCAACAUCAUAGGGGAGUAUGUUAACAAUGCUGAUUCUCCAGCCCCAGCUCCGGACUCUGUUUUAACGGUCUAUCCAGGCAUGAAUUCUACUCAAGUGGCCUGCCCCUCAGCAGAAGUUGGACAGGUGCUUAUGUUGCAAUUAACAAAAAGGAUACAUGCUGGGUCCUGCAGUAAAUGUCUCCCUUGGAUCAUGAAGUCUUUUUACCAUGUUACUGGAACACAGAAGAUGAACAAACUGAAGCUAAAGAGAAGUAUUAUGUGUGCAAUGGCAUACAACCAUCUGAAAUGGAAAAAUAGAUUGUGUUCCUAUGAGCUUCCAUAAUACCAUGUGACUUCUCUGACAUAUGGAGGGUUUUGAGCCUGGGAAUGAGGCAUUGUCUGUAAGUUACUAGCACCAACAGUGUAUUUUGGGAACAAGCACAGGCUGAGAAAAAAGAACAAGCCAGAUAUGAGAAGGGAAUCUCAAAUAUCGGCUACUCAGAAGUGCCUUCUCUGGCCACUCUCUCUAAAAUAGAAAUGACCCUAUCUUUCACAAUUACCUGACCUGAUUUGUCUUUCAUAGUUCCUCACAGAACUUGACAUGAUAUUAUAUAUUUUUUUGUUUUUUUUUUUUGGAAAUAUUUUCCCCUUUGGAACAUAAGCUUCAUGAAGGCAAAGACUUGUUGGUUUCAUCUGUACAUCCAGUACCCAUAACAGUGUCUGGCACAUAGUAGAUACUCAGUGAGAGAUUCAGUGUACACACAGACAAUGGCCUCACCAGAUAUAAAAACAGAACUUUAACCCACAACCUGCAGCAACCUGUCCAGGAAAUCAACCCCUUAUCUACUAUAAGCAAACCAGGAAGCCAGCCUGCUGUAAGUCAGACUUUUCUGGGAGUUAGAUUGCUAUUUCCAGUGACAUUCUAGGAAGCUAAACAACUGCUGUAACAAUUUGCCUAAAAUGAACAGGACUUGAUUAAUACCUGAAAGCUUCCCUCAUUUUUGUCCCCAACUUAGGAUCCACUAGAGAAAGACAAAUAUAUUCCCCUAACCAAUCACAUAGCAUUCUGUGUCCAGUUAGCUAGCCUACAGCUUCCCUGUGCCAACAGCCUCCAAUCGGGGCAUAGCUGAAGCCUUUCCUUUUUUUCCACCAUAAACCUUCCUACUUCUCUGUCUGCUUUUGAGUCUCUGCCAAAACACAAGUGACAGUGGCUAACUUCCUUGCGUUGGUAAGCUCAGAAUAAAUAGACUUUGCUGU